rnacentral:lncRNA from 1 species
AAUGUGGAAAACAAAUCACUUCUUUGAAAUGAGACCUUCUUCACUAGCGCUUGACGUUUAAAAGUGUGGUAACCCAAAAUAAAUGUACGAAGUAGUACAAAUACAUUUAGCUAGUUGUGCUAGAGAUUUUAUAGAGAAAAUUAUAUAUUUUUAAAAAGCGGAUCAUUUUUAAAUAUGUGCAUGUGCAACAGCUUAUUCAAAGAGGGUGUGGCAGAUGUUGUUGUUUUUAAGUUCAGCGGAGAAUACGUAGAGGACGCACUUCGCGAGAGGAGGCUACUGAGGUGAGGAGGACACUCCUGUGUUCGCCUACUAACGAACUGACUCCUCGACCACUCAACAACCACUUAUCGGGUUUCCUGGUCACGGAGGAGAGGACGGAGGAAUCUCCCUGAAUGUUUUGACUGGUAGCCUUAGUGGAGUUGCCAACAAAUGGACGGUAUCAAGGCAAACCCAUCAUAGACAACAACACAGAUGCCAUCUAUGGGAGCAGAAAGACCAUCUGUGUGAUCAGCCGCUGCUACCGGAGAGUGAGUGGUGCUCCAGAGAGAUCCAGGUGGCCAGGUGGGUCCUUCUAAUCAGACUGGGGUGACAGGUAUCAAAUACUGCAAAUGUAGAUUUAAACCCCAGGUUGCAUGUUAGUUGCAACCUGGGCUUUGCAACUUUGCUUGCUGGGCUCCACGCUUGUGCCAUGAAUGUCAUAGCCGCCUGUUGUUCAAUCUUCCCAAGUUCUCCCAUGUCACUCCGCUCCUUUGCACUCUCCAUUGGCUCCCAGUAGCAGCUUGCAGCCAAAUCAACACCUUGGUUCUUGCCUACGGUGCAGCGAUGGGAACCUCUCCUCCCUACCUCCCGUAAGAGAUGUGUAAUACUUCUGCUGCAUAUAUUUGAAAAUACAUAUCUCCAUUACUUUUUAGUAUUUUAUCAUUUGUAUUUGAGAGGCCAGAAAAAAAUCCAUGUGAUUUGUAACAGGAUCCUUCAGAACAUUUUAUCAGACGUCUUAUGACAGUAUCCUGUGUGGCCAUUACAGGUGUUGGUGGAUGAGUGGAGGAACUUGAGAGAAAGUUGAAACAGGGAUGCACUUCCAGAGAAAGGAUAAUGCAGUGAAUUUGGUCCACAUGG